rnacentral:rRNA from 1 species
ACAAUGAAGAGUUUGAUCCUGGCUCAGGAUGAACGCUAGCUACAGGCUUAACACAUGCAAGUCGAGGGGCAGCAUGGUCUUAGCUUGCUAAGGCCGAUGGCGACCGGCGCACGGGUGAGUAACACGUAUCCAACCUGCCGUCUACUCUUGGACAGCCUUCUGAAAGGAAGAUUAAUACAAGAUGGCAUCAUGAGUCCGCAUGUUCACAUGAUUAAAGGUAUUCCGGUAGACGAUGGGGAUGCGUUCCAUUAGAUAGUAGGCGGGGUAACGGCCCACCUAGUCUUCGAUGGAUAGGGGUUCUGAGAGGAAGGUCCCCCACAUUGGAACUGAGACACGGUCCAAACUCCUACGGGAGGCAGCAGUGAGGAAUAUUGGUCAAUGGGCGAGAGCCUGAACCAGCCAAGUAGCGUGAAGGAUGACUGCCCUAUGGGUUGUAAACUUCUUUUAUAAAGGAAUAAAGUCGGGUAUGGAUACCCGUUUGCAUGUACUUUAUGAAUAAGGAUCGGCUAACUCCGUGCCAGCAGCCGCGGUAAUACGGAGGAUCCGAGCGUUAUCCGGAUUUAUUGGGUUUAAAGGGAGCGUAGAUGGAUGUUUAAGUCAGUUGUGAAAGUUUGCGGCUCAACCGUAAAAUUGCAGUUGAUACUGGAUAUCUUGAGUGCAGUUGAGGCAGGCGGAAUUCGUGGUGUAGCGGUGAAAUGCUUAGAUAUCACGAAGAACUCCGAUUGCGAAGGCAGCCUGCUAAGCUGCAACUGACAUUGAGGCUCGAAAGUGUGGGUAUCAAACAGGAUUAGAUACCCUGGUAGUCCACACGGUAAACGAUGAAUACUCGCUGUUUGCGAUAUACUGCAAGCGGCCAAGCGAAAGCGUUAAGUAUUCCACACGGGGAGUACGCCGGCAACGGUGAAACUCAAAGGAAUUGACGGGGGCCCGCACAAGCGGAGGAACAUGUGGUUUAAUUCGAUGAUACGCGAGGAACCUUACCCGGGCUUAAAUUGCAGAUGAAUUACGGUGAAAGCCGUAAGCCGCAAGGCAUCUGUGAAGGUGCUGCAUGGUUGUCGUCAGCUCGUGCCGUGAGGUGUCGGCUUAAGUGCCAUAACGAGCGCAACCCUUGUUGUCAGUUACUAACAGGUUCCGCUGAGGACUCUGACAAGACUGCCAUCGUAAGAUGUGAGGAAGGUGGGGAUGACGUCAAAUCAGCACGGCCCUUACGUCCGGGGCUACACACGUGUUACAAUGGGGGGUACAGAGGGCCGCUACCACGCGAGUGGAUGCCAAUCCCAAAAACCUCUCUCAGUUCGGACUGGAGUCUGCAACCCGACUCCACGAAGCUGGAUUCGCUAGUAAUCGCGCAUCAGCCACGGCGCGGUGAAUACGUUCCCGGGCCUUGUACACACCGCCCGUCAAGCCAUGGGAGCUUGGGGUACCUGAAGUGCGUAACCGCGAGGAGCGCCCUAGGGUAAAACUGGUGACUGGGGCUAAGUCGUAACAAGGUAGCCGUACCGGAAGGUGCGGCUGGAACACCUCCUUU